CAGUAGCCGCGGGAAUACGUAGGGUGCGAGCGUUAAUCGGAAUUACUGGGCGUAAAGCGUGCGCAGGCGGUCAUAUAAGACAGAUGUGAAAUCCCCGGGCUCAACCUGGGACCUGCAUUUGUGACUGUAUGGCUAGAGUGUGUCAGAGGGGGGUAGAAUUCCACGUGUAGCAGUGAAAUGCGUAGAUAUGUGGAGGAAUGCCGAUGGCGAAGGCAGCCCCCUGGGAUAACACUGACGCUCAUGCACGAAAGCGUGGGGAGCAAACAGGAUUAGAUACCCCUGUAGUCCCUGUCUCUUAUAC
rnacentral:rRNA from 1 species